rnacentral:lncRNA from 1 species
GAAAAUUAUAUUGUAUAACUAGAAAUUAAAAUUGGAUAACCAGACAUCAAAAUCGGAUAAUCAAAAAUUCAAACUAGAUAACCAGACCACCGACCCUGGCACAAAGACGUUGGCCCGGCGCAUAACCUGAAUAUGGACCUGCGUAACCAAUUAUCCAAUUUACAUAAGCAAAAAAACUAUCUUAACAUAAAUCUGAGUAACCAGAAAUUAAAAAUGGAUAACUAGACAACUGA